UCCCCGCGGCAUGCGGGGGGCGCCGCCGCCUCCAAACUUUCGGCGGGGCGCGCCGGUGGCAAGAGGCGCCCGCCGCCGCCGGGGAGGAGAGAGCCGCCGCGGCACAGCUUUACUGAUUAGAUCAGGCUGCUGCAAAGAUGGGGCCUCUGGCAGCAAUAGGUGAAGAAAACCAGACAGAUGAAAUGAAAAUGGAGCUCUUCACCAGGCUGUACUUGCCAAGAUUCACCACACCGCUCAAUGAAUUGGCUCUCGACCCUAAACCGGAACUGAAGGACAGCACCACGCAGGUUGAAGUGCAGAUCAUCCUCAUCUUUGCUUACUGUUCCAUCAUCCUGUUGGGGGUGAUCGGGAACUCCCUUGUGAUCCACGUGAUCAUCAAGUUCAAAAGCAUGCGCACAGUGACUAACUUCUUCAUUGCCAACCUGGCUGUGGCUGAUCUGCUGGUGAAUACGUUGUGCCUGCCCUUCACGUUAGUUUACACACUGUUGGGUGAAUGGAAACUGGGUCCAGUCUUGUGCCACCUGGUGCCUUAUGCCCAGGCUCUUGCUGUGCAUGUGUCUACUGUCACUUUGACUGUGAUUGCUUUGGAUCGGCAUCGCUGCAUCGUCUACCACUUGGAAAGCAAAAUUUCCAAGCGGAUCAGCUUUCUGAUCAUAGGAGUAGCCUGGGCAGUCAGUGCCCUGUUAGCAAGUCCUCUGGCCAUCUUCCGUGAAUACUCACUGAUUGAGAUCAUUCCUGACUUCAAGAUUGUGGUCUGCUCUGAAAAGUGGCCAGGGGAGGGGCAGCUUAACUACGGCACCAUCUACAGUGUCUCCAUGCUUCUGAUCCAGUAUGUGUUGCCUUUGGCAGUUAUCUCCUACGCCUACACCCGUAUUUGGACCAAACUCAAGAACCACGUUAGUCCUGGGGCAGGAAACGAUCACUACCACCACCGGCGGCGGAAAACCACCAAGAUGUUGGUGUGUGUGGUUGUGGUGUUUGCUGUCAGCUGGUUGCCCUUUCACACCUUCCAACUGGUCAGUGAUAUUGACAGUCAGGUGUUAGACUUGAAAGAAUACAAACUGAUCUACACAGUGUUUCAUGUCAUUGCCAUGUGCUCAACCUUUGCUAACCCUCUCCUCUAUGGCUGGAUGAAUAACAACUACAGGACGGCCUUCCUCACAGCCUUCCAGUGUGAACAGCGGUUGGACUCCAUCCACCCUGAAGUAUCAGCAGCUUUCAAAGCCAGGAAGAAACUAGAAGCAAAGAAGAAUAAUUUCCCUGGAGACUCUUUCACACAACCUACCAAUGUCUAAGAUACCUGACUUUAAAGAAGAAAUUAAUAUGUUGUAGACAGAGAUAAAAGUCCAUUUUGACCCAUGCAUUUUUAAUGCAUAGUUUUAAUCAUAAAUGGUGAAAGAACACUAGCACGAAAGUCAAGGCGGGUGGUAUGAUUCAAAGGGAGUUGAUUGACAUCAACAAUAUGUAACCAUACAACUCUAAAGAAGAGAGAGACUUUGUUAAUGGCCGUCUCUAACCAGGUAGGAGGGAUUCCCUCACUCCCAUCCCUUGCAUCUCUUUUUGUAAGUUCAAGUGACAGAGUUUGCAAUUUUUGCCACAGGAAGACAAACAGCUGAAUUGUAACAUGGGAAUAAUGGUGGUGGGAGCAGGAAACUUUGAUAUCACAUGGAGGAGAGCAGGAGAACAGAACAGGAGAGAGAUUACAUGGGGAGAAAAUGGAGAGCAGAAGUCUGUCAGAAGAACAAUGCACAUCUGGAGACGGUGGGCUACACUGGCUGAAGCACACACUUUUCAGACCCUUCUCUCGCACAAGUAUGCUUUGCAAAGAAAAGGGAAUUAAGAAGAGAAAUGUGUUACUGUUUUUGACUUAUGCUGAAAUACUUCAAACAGGAGCAUUCUAAAUGGAUUAGAGGAAGGAAAAAAAGAGAAAAGAAUUAGAUUCAAUGUAAAGAAAGGUCAGAUACUGCAUUUAUGUUUCUCCACUGAAGUUCUACCUAUCCAGUAUUACAGGUUGCUGAGAGGCAAAGGGAAUUAAAGGGGUAAAUCAUCAUCAAUUUCCAAGGUAUACGGACUGAACUGUACUUCUAACCUUUGUUCCAGAGACGUGUAAUUCUUGGUUUUGGUGUCCAUAUCUGAACUUCUGCAAGUGGAAACGCUUAGUGCUGAACUCUGAUGUACCCUGUUACCAAAAGAGUUAAGGGAUUUAGGAGGAUAAAUUUCUUUAAAUGCUGAGGCUGAACAUAGGCUUCUAAAUCACUAGACUUUUGAAAAUCUCCACAUAAGCAAUUUCAUACCUUCACAUAUUUGGCUCACACGCCUUGCUCUUCUGCUAUUGCUCGGAAGGACAGCAUCUGACUGAAAUUUUCAUGGGACCCAUCCCAUUGCUCUCACUGAAGGUGGCCAAGUGGGCCAGCAAAUGGGCCUUCAUUCUACCUGGCUCCUGUGCAGCCCUAAGUGAGCAUAUAUACCCUCAGGCCCAGGUUGGAGCACUCUUAGCACAGAAAGCCUGCAGACACUUGAUGUAUUCUUGGUACAGUUCUGGUUCAUACUGUGUAGAUGCAACAAAUCUGAGAAUGACUAGGCCUGCUUGCAGCCCAGCUCAUCAGCUGGUAUCCCUAAAGAUCAAGCUACCAUCAGGCUAACAUCUGAAGUCAACGGAAAGCACGUAAUUUUUAGUGCUUGCCGCUCUCCUUUCCUUACAGUGGAACCUGCAUCUUAGGGUGUCACUUGAAGAGUGACUUUUAGCAGUGUGUUUGGAAAACCUGGGUAUCAUAGCAUUUUAGAGACCAUGUAUUUGUCUGUAGCACAUGUUAAGAAACUCAUCACUAUAUUCCUCAUAAAAAGUACAAUAGGCAGGACAGCUAUGGCAAGGCUUUUAGCUCUGCCUCAUUCCUUGAGGUACUUUACUGAUCACUCUUGCACACUUCCCUUCCUGGUUGUGACUAAGGUCAAGUUAAAUUUCAGAAAUUACUUAGAUGGCUUGAGUCAGUAGGCAAGAUAGUUCUCACUCUUCUUCUCUACCUCCUCCUCUUGAAAGAUGUUGCUGACUCAUUUUUAAAACAAUUCUGUUCAAAAUGUGGAAUUAGUUUUCUUCAAAAUACCAUGAAAUUGGCACAGCAAUUAAAUAAAAAAUCAAGCCCUGUACAGGUAACAUUUGAAAUACAGCUGUAUGAAUAAAUUUUUGUAAUGUCCAAGACUCAUAUAUGGCCACAUUUAGAGCGUGAUCCUCUCUGAGGCUGCUGCGAACACUUGCCUACUGCAGAUACUCAAUUUCUCAUUAGACUGGGAUCUGGAGAAGAGAACUGAAAGCUCUGCGAUUCUGUGAUUCACCCUGAUUAGGAAGUCUACUUGCAUGAUCCAAUCUUAAAGAACAAAACCUACACAAUGAGAAUUGCUUAUUACAGUUUGAAAAUACAUUGUUUUGUUUUUGUAAACACAUACAGCUAAAUUGAUUUUAAUAAUUGCUGGUAUUAAAAGUAUCAUCCUAGGUAGCGUUCCUAGUGUAUUUUUAAAUUUUGAUUGCAGGACUGGUAAAAGGGAGCUAUAGGCUAUAAAGGCACAGGUUUGUUUUUAUAACUUAUGACCUCAAAAACAC